CAGCCAAGUCUGUUUAAGGUGUAAUUCCUCAGGAAGAGAUUGUGGCCAUUUAAACGAGUUAACGGAGCCGUUCAAGGCCGUGUGUGCUUUUCCAAACCAGGCACAAACCGCAGCUCAGGCGGGCGCCCGGGGUUGCUGUCGGCCGAGUCGCCUCAGCCCCGCAGGUCUGUCACCUCUGGCUCCCGCCCAUGUCACAUCCCUGUCCUCCGGGUGGAAACUGCGGAAGAAAGUGCAGGAUGCGCCUUGGUUUCGCUGACACCGCUCCCGCCGCGCUGGCUCCCGCACUGAAUCCUGGUAAAAUGCAGUAAAGGAUUUAAGGUUAUCGUCUGUCUCUCUCUAACUUCUGACAUCUCUUUAUAACAAGAAAGAGUCACAGCCAACUGUAACAGGAGGGCAACACAAUGAAUCCUGAGUCAAGGCCUUUUCUGUUCCUCACACCCUUCCACCAGCGAUGAGGCUGAAGGUGCACGAAAAGUUGAGAGGACAACAGCUGGGGCAGCUGACCCCAAGUGACCAAAGGGAUAUUCCCUGCCAUAUGGCAUCAUGCUCUCUGUAUGAAAUAGAGAUGGAAGUUGGCUGGGGACUGCAGCUCGAGGAACGACUGGGCAUUGUUUUGGUGGUGGUUAAUAUUUUCAUCCUAGUCCUGGUUCAUAUGCAUGUAGGCUUUGGGCUCCUCUGCUCUGUACCCGUUUAUCACCCUUUUCAAAGGGAAGAAGGAAACUCUUGCUACGGGUGCAGAACUUAGAAGAGAUCUGUGCCGAAUAAGAGCGAGAACGCAGCUGCACAAGACUCAGCAUACUUCUCACAGACAAAAUGCAGUGAAGGAAAAGAUGACACUUUAAACUAAAUGAGAGAUCAUUAUACAACACUCUUUCCAUUCAGCUCGUUCUAGGGGGAAUAUAUACAUGUGGCAGCAGCACUCAGGACAUGAAGAGCUACUUUGAAAGUUGAUGCGUUUCCCAGUGUUUGAGAUGAAGAUGGAAAGUAGAGAGUGAGAAAAUUGGCUGUCCCUGCAGAGGUGCCCCCCAGCCACAAUAAUACUUGUGAAGCCGUCAUACUUUUCUACCCUGAACAAGAAAGCAGCCUGGACUGGUUCAGAGCAAACGCAGAUUGUAGGAAGCAUUUCAGACUGAUGUUCUUCCCUGGUGAGGGAGUUUUCCAGGGGCCUGGCAGAGCCAGCUGGCAGCAUGAACAGCUCAAGCUACAGCAAGGAGACCCAAGCAGAACUACACAAAUUUGUCCAUAUUCCCUUGUGCUGUGCUGAAUUGGGAAGGCAUGCAAGGGAGACCUGAAAACCUUAAGGCAAAGGACUGCUCUGUGGGCUGUUUGGCCACACAAACAGAGGUACAUACACAGAGUGGUAAAUGGGAGCUCGUGCAGGGCUCGUGCUGUACUGGGAGAGCUAACUGGGCUGUGAAAGUAAGCUUUACCCUUUCAAACAGACCAAGGUAAAUGACAGAGGGAGCAUUACACAGGCAGUUGGGUUCUUUACACUCAGCCUCAUGUUCUCAGAGUGUUUUGCUCACUGCACUGCCUUGUGAAAUCAGCAGUAAAAGCCUGUGACCAGAGGGAAAGUGGUAAGCCAGUGGUAGCACUAGUGGUAGCACUGAUUAAAACAGCAGCACGCAAACACACUGACCUCUUCCUGAGUGGUAACCUUCAGUGAGAACUAAUUCACUGGAUUGAUUUUAUUCAGCUUGUCCAUGAGAAAAUAGAGCACAGCAGCAUUGACUGCAACUGGCAAAAAGUGCUUGUGAGCUUCAGGAUUCAGCUUCUAGGUUCUUGAAGAUGUUGGUCAUGUUAUGAUGUGCUAUUACACUCUAUGUCUUCUGUUUGGCAAAAAUGUACUGGCAGAAGAAUAUAAAUUAAUCUAAUUUCUUUUUGUUAGUCCAGUUAAUGUUUUAAACAGUUUAAUAGUCAAAAUUACUUAAUGAAUAUAGGAAGACCUCAUUAAAAAUAGAGUUAGACUUGCUACGCUAAAAAUUCCCUCUUCUCUGGUGUUGCAUUUACUCCCCCAGUUCUCCUUUGGGUCUUAAUAUUGGUAUUCCUCAAAAGAUAUGCAGGAGUAUUAUGAUGAAUUAUCAUCAGGAUUCGUGUGAUACUCAUGGGAGAAGGAUGUCUUUCUUCUGAGCCUGGUAUCUGUUCAGAUUUAGUUUUAUAUGUUUUCUUAACACUAUAAUCUAUGAUUAAAUGGCUGAUUUGUCUGCAUUGUCAAAUAUGUCUGCAUUCUUCCCCACAGCUGACUCUAGAAUUGUAGGCAGUUCAGUUCACAAUGAAUAACUAUUUGUUAUUAUCCUAAACUAAAGUUAAACUAAAACAAAUCUAGUCAAGAGUGCCUCUUGACCGCUGGACAAUUGCUAUCACAGCUAAACCAAGUUAAAAUCUUUUGAGGCCCAGAAAAAGCCAGGGCAUUGCUGAGUCCCUACACUGUCACCUCGAUACAAACCCUGUUGCUUUUUACCAGUAAUGGCAAAAUCACAUUUAUUGGGCUAUAAAGUCACUUUGAAUAGUCUGUGAAAUGCAGAGCAAGGAUUUGCAAACCCUGCUAUGACUGCAGAGUCAUGACUGAACAGCAGAUCUUGGAAACAUUCACACUUUCCUAACUUCUCUUGAAUUAGAGUAAUUCAAAGUCUGAUUGACUUGUAAUUCUUCAUUGCCAACAGGAGGCCAGCUAACAAAAAGUAUUUGAUUUUCAUUGCCAAUAUAAUUUUCCCAAUCAGCAGGAAUACUGUGAUUAUUAAACUGAGAGCUAUAGUUUGUAGUGCUAAGUUAAAAAUUCUUUUAGCUGCAGGAGACCAUAGUGUAACCUGAUAAAGGUAUAGGCUAAUUAAGAAACAUGCUUGAACCUAAGAUACAUCAGACAUACAGACACACAGACAGGCACUAGUGGGCAGGUUUUACAUGAGGUAGUUCACAACAAUUUCUGAAGUUGGGUCUCUACACAAACACAACUAGAUCUCAUAUCCAUGAUUUGAGAUUGAUUAGAAACAGAGUUAGAGAUGUCAUAGUCACACCUAUUUAAAUUUUGAGCUAAGUAAUCAUCUGAAGACUGGAAACUAAUAUCUUCACAUCUCUACUAAAUAUUUCAAUGUUAUUUGUCAGCAUUCUUCUGAAAAGACUCAAUAUUCCAUUUUCUUUGGCAGACUGUGUUCUCAGAUGCACACCUUUAAUAACUGAAGCACUUGUUACACGUUUCCAAAAUUAUCUGAUCAGCUUCCUACAAACAAGAACUUUUCUAUCAAUUUGAUACAUGACUGUGUAUUUUACAUAUAUGCAGUUUUUACCAUGUACAAGUUUUAAGAUUCUUUAAAGUACCUCCCAUACAAUUUUACAUAAAUGGUACAUUUAUUUUGAAAAUGUGAUUUUUCAGUGGUAAGAAAAAAUAACUUAUUGGUCCAUCUUUUCUUUUAUGUUUUAAAAGAACUCAGAGUUUCAGCUGUACUUGUAAAUACAUGUAUUUUUU